UAUUGCAUCAAAGAGACACAUAUGGUUUGUAUUUAUUUUUUUGGAAGGUGACAGAUCCUGACUCAAAUACUCCAUACUGGCAUCAAAUGAAAAGAAAAAAAGAAAACUAUAAAAGUUGGUGAUGAGCAUGUGUAGAACUGGAACACACUCCUGAACGUGGACCAGAAGCUUCAUUGGAGCUGCCUGAAUGUCAGUGGUGAUUUUGUACAUUUUACAGUCACUUUCAGAAAGUGGGAGUCAUCCUGGCAGAGAUUCAGCUGAAGGAUAGGAGAUACAUCCUAUUAAAUAAUAACCAAAAAUAAUACAUUAAAUCAACAAAAUGUGUAUCUGACCUGAAUAUUCUAUGAACUUUGGGCAAAAUAGAAAGAAUCAUAAAACAAGAGGAACCUCAAAAGAUACUGGAAGAAAAGCUUUCUGUUUUUCAUCACUGAAUGUGUUAUUGUGGGCUUUCCAUAGAUGGACAUUUUUAUGCUGAGGUGAAAUAUCUGAAGAUAAGAAAUAUUUCCCUCAUCACCGUUAUGUUAAUAACUGAUGGGAGUCUGCAUUUGAAUUCAGGUCUCUAACUCCAAGAUCCAUUCUCUUUGUGCUAUCCUUGGUUAUUCAGGAGAAAGGUAGAUGCUUCCUUCAGAGAUGUAAUUAUGAACAUCUUUUAUUGAAACAAAGAGAUUGGGAGCAGGAUGCUUCAACUAGAUUCCACUAGCACCAGAAAUACAACUGAGUUUACAACCAGCAUGUUGGGAGAUGGAGACUUUAAAAUUUGUUUUAUUUUAUCUGGAUAGUUCUAAUAAAAUGUGUUUUCUGUUUAUUGAGAAUUUCACUAGUAAUAUAGCACAAAAAAUGACAAUAGCCUUUAUUUUCUCUGAGCAUUCUGUACAUAUGAUUAAUAUAGUAUUUGUGUUUCUGCAUACCAACUAUAUGUUUACAACUUUGGAUUGAACUAUGAGUUCUACUAGGAGAAGAAUUUUGACUUAUUCCCUUCCUAUCCCUUAUACACAAUCAGUUCCUUUUACAACAAAAAGGAGAACAACUGGUAUUUGCUGAACAAGUGCACUAAACCACCAUAAUCUCAUAUCAAUCUAGUAAAAUAAGGUUUUGGAAUUGCUCUAUAAAUUUCAGAGUAGCCAUUCAAUCAGGGGUCCCCAUACUGUACUGCCUGUUUUUGUAAAUAGUUUUUAUUGGAACACAACCUAGCUUGCUCAUUUGUUAACAUUUUGGCUGAAGUUACUUUCACGUUAAAUUGGCAGAGUGGAGAAGUAGCAAAAGACACCAUUGAAAAUAAUUACUCUGCAAGCUUUUCCUUAGAGAAAAUUUUGUCAACACCUAUAUUAGAAGUUAGUUGUUUGUAUAUUUGGUGGUGUAGUCCUUGAGUGUCAGAAAAAAGGAGA